rnacentral:tRNA from 1 species
GGUCCUAUGACCUAACGAAAAAAGCACUGGUCUACGGAUCCGGAGAUUCCAGAUUCGAUCCCUGGUAGGAUCG